rnacentral:rRNA from 1 species
AAGUCGAGCGAACGGAUAAGGAGCUUGCUCCUUUGAAGUUAGCGGCGGACGGGUGAGUAACACGUGGGUAACCUACCUAUAAGACUGGGAUAACUUCGGGAAACCGGAGCUAAUACCGGAUAACAUUUAGAACCGCAUGGUUCUAAAGUGAAAGAUGGUUUUGCUAUCACUUAUAGAUGGACCCGCGCCGUAUUAGCUAGUUGGUAAGGUAACGGCUUACCAAGGCGACGAUACGUAGCCGACCUGAGAGGGUGAUCGGCCACACUGGAACUGAGACACGGUCCAGACUCCUACGGGAGGCAGCAGUAGGGAAUCUUCCGCAAUGGGCGAAAGCCUGACGGAGCAACGCCGCGUGAGUGAUGAAGGGUUUCGGCUCGUAAAACUCUGUUAUUAGGGAAGAACAAAUGUGUAAGUAACUGUGCACAUCUUGACGGUACCUAAUCAGAAAGCCACGGCUAACUACGUGCCAGCAGCCGCGGUAAUACGUAGGUGGCAAGCGUUAUCCGGAAUUAUUGGGCGUAAAGCGCGCGUAGGCGGUUUCUUAAGUCUGAUGUGAAAGCCCACGGCUCAACCCGUGGAGGGUCAUUGGAAACUGGGAAACUUGAGUGCAGAAGAGGAAAGUGGAAUUCCAUGUGUAGCGGUGAAAUGCGCAGAGAUAUGGAGGAACACCAGUGGCGAAAGCGACUUUCUGGUCUGUAACUGACGCUGAUGUGCGAAAGCGUGGGGAUCAACCAGGAUUAGAUACCCUGGUAGUCCACGCCGUAAACGAUGA